rnacentral:rRNA from 1 species
GACGAACGCUGGCGGCGUGCUUAACACAUGCAAGUCGAACGGAGUGGCGAACGGGUGAGUAACACGUGGGUGAGCUGCCCUGCACUUCGGGAUAAGCCCGGGAAACUGGGUCAACUACCGGAUAGGGUGGGAUGAGCCCGGGGCCUAUCAGCUUGUUGGUGGGGUAGUGGCCUACCAAGGCGGCGCCGGGUAGCCGGCCUGAGAGGGUGGACGGCCACAUGGGGACUGAGACACGGCCCAGACUCCAACGGGGUGCAGCGGGGGGGAAUAUUGCACAAUCGGCGGAAGCGUGAUGCAGCGGCGCCGCGUGGGGGAUGCCGGCCUUCGGGUUGUAAACUCCUUGAACCAUCGACGCGGUAGAUGGAGAAGAAGCACCGGCUAACUACGUGCCAGCAGCCGCGGUAAUUC